CGGGUGUUUCCUUGUUCGGAAUCGGGUUGGCUCCUCUUUGAUUUUUUACUUCUGGUGUCCCACGCAAAAGCAGUCCCGACCUGGUUCUAUUAAUAAUAAAGGCUGUAAGGAUCAGCCUUUUGAACGGUCCAGCCGAGAACUAACCACAGAGCGCGUUUUAGUAGAGUGGUACUUAUUUUUAAAUAAGAUACUGAGUUUACUACAAAUGGAAGGUUUGAGGCAACCUUGAUGGAGCAAGUGUAUGGGUGCCAUUUUUUUCCAACAUCAUGUGCUCACUUUGUGUCUCUCUGACACAUUUUGAACGCAAGACUAUAUUUACUAGCAGCUCUGUGUCCUUGCUCAUUGGAAAAUGAUCUUUCCUCAAGACUUACUGACACGUUUCUGUUUAAGGCAUGACAAUCGUAAAGGCCAACAAUUGUGGACGGGGGCAACUCUUCCUUUCAUUAUGUACUGGUGUAGUCAAUUAUGCAAAGUCUGGUCAACCAAAGACCACCAGGCUCAAGCCAUUAGUUUU
rnacentral:antisense_RNA from 1 species